GUCUGAGAAAUGUCCACGGACCAGGAGACAAGACCCGGGAAGAAGGAUGGCCCUUGUUUCGGAGGGUAAUCAGGCCCUUACAUACACAGAGAGUCCAACGCUUUGCAGAAGAUGCACAUGGCAAGGCUGGGAGGAAGGUCUUCGGAAAACUCUGACACAUGCAGAGGCCUGGUGUGAGCGGGUGUUCUGGAAGGGGGCUGAGUUCUGGGUUUAGAUCAAUCUGCAGUGGAGACAGAGGAAGGAAAAUGAAACCAGCACUGCUCAAGAAAAAUAUAUUGUGAGCCACAUAUCACAUCUCAAUUUGGAACCUACAUGUCAAGUGCUCAGCAGCCACAGGAGGCCAGUAGCUGCUGUACCCGAUAGAGCAGGAUGGAGCAGCAGAUCAGAGCCGAGGACCAGGAUGGGCCUGACUGCUGCUGGAGGCCAGACUGAAGGAGCAGGGAGGAGGCAGGGAGGCCACAGGGAGGCUGUUGUGCAGGUCCGGGAGCAAGAUCCUGGUGCUGGCCUGGGAAGGUCAUUGUGGAGGCCAUGAGAAGUGGAUGGAUUCAGUACAAAGGCAAGGGGAGGCUGAGAGGGAAAGGGGGCGAGAAGAGUAUGGAAGCAGAGGCAGCCAGACAGUUUGUGUCUUCCAGGUUGCAACAGUCUCACAUCAGAUGAUGGCUGCGUGAGGAUUCUAGCCCAUAUUGCCCUCUGAUGCAAAAACAAAAGGCUGUCCUGCCCCUGGGGCCCCUAGGUUAGUCAUUCAGAGAUUUUCACUCCCUGAUAAGCAGGGGCAAGGCUCCUACUCAGCCCGGAAGUAGCACUCGCAUAAGAUUUUGGGAGUAAAAUCUCUGAGGGGGUGGAAUGAGACAGGAGGGAAAGAAGCAGGGCACAGCCAUUCAAGGAAUGACACAGCAAUAAACACCAAAAUAGUGGAAGAUUCAACCCCUCAGUGAGCCUUGAGGCUCAAUAUGGUGAGAGAUUUGACUUCUCGCAGACCUUGAGCUUCAUUAUAUGCUCGUUGUAAUAUAUCCUGGUAAAUGGCACUACCACAAGCACUAUGACAGCUCCAAGGCUAACCGUGAAAGGUCGAAGAGUGGGCAGUGGCCAAAUUCCUGGGAAUCCCAGCCCCUUCUCCAGGGUGGUUAGAAUGAUCUUCCCACUUGUUAGCAUAUGAAGCUACCGAGCCCAUAAAAACUGGCAACACCAUGACACGUGGCAGCCUCUCUUGGUCCCUCAGCUUCAGAGAUGGCCCGUACUCUGUCUAUGGAGUGUGUAUCUACUUUUACUUUAACCUGAGCACCCAACCCCGACACCUCAUGGCCUUUCUCUUGCCUUC